CGGACCCUAAAAAGCCCUAAAAA
rnacentral:tRNA from 2 species